rnacentral:misc_RNA from 1 species
CCGCCAGGGAAGAAUGUCGUUACGAGCUUCUCGGAGAAGCUGCGUGCAUCUAGGGCUACACCCUCCUGGCCUUCCACUGGUUGAUCCUGGAUUAAUGGCAAACAUGAGUGAUAGAUCGAGUAACGGUGAUUACAAAUAUCAGAGAGACGAUGAAGAUAAGUCUUUAGUCAGACUUCCGCUGGACAAGGACCAGGAUAAGGAGCAUCAGAUUGAUAAAGCCAGCGAGCUUGUGCGCGAGCUGCUUCAGGAAAAGAUCGAGAUCAAUCAGAAACUGCCCCAUGCGACUCGGCUGCUGGACUUAGAGAUCCAAAAGAUACAAGCUAUCGGCAAGCCACUGAGGGAUUCGAAAUAUGUGGAUAUUUACCGUGAAAAACCCGUUCGCGUCUCUGUCAAGGUUUUGGUACCUAUUCGUGAACACCCCAAGUUUAACUUUGUCGGGAAAUUGUUGGGUCCAAAAGGUAACUCUAUGAAACGUUUGCAAGAGGAAACUAUGUGCAAGAUGGCAGUAUUAGGUAGAGGCUCAAUGAGAGACAGACAAAAGGAAGAGGAACGUCGUUCUUCCUUGGAUCCAAAGUAUGCACAUCUUACUGAUGAUCUGCAUGUGGAGAUCACUGCACUCGCACCACCAGCGGAAGCCUAUGCUCGUAUCGCUUUUGCACUUGCUGAGGUACGCAAGUACUUGAUUCCCGAUAAUAAUGACAAUAUACGUCAAGAACAGAUGCGAGAGAUGGAGAUGAGUAUGUCCGAUGAGUCAACUACAGACGAACGUAGACCAGCUAUGAGGGGGCCUUCAGCACCUGCUACUGGUGGCAUAAUAAGACCUACUACUAGGCCAACAUUACCUAGGACAUCUAGAGCCAUUCUUCCUCCACCACCUGCAAAUCGAGGCCCACUCUCUCGGCCUGUGCCACCUAAAACAAAAGUGUUUUCCAUCUUGGAUCGCGCGAGAGCUGCUAUGGAUCAGAGUUACGGUUAUGAAACUCCAACUCCUCCGCCAAGCAAUCGUGUAGGAUCGCAUCAUGAUUAUGAUUACCAUACAAGUUCGACUAGCACUACUCGAUAUGGUGAUCGUCAUUAUUCAUCAAACUCUGGAGACGACAUGUAUUCCUCUUCAAGAUACACUACUUAUGAAUAUGAAGAUGAUUCUGGACCACAUUCUUCACAUGAUUAUUACGAAUCUUCAGACUAUCCAGAAGAAUCAUCGAGCCGCGCAUGGAAAUCGUACAAGACCACAACGACGUCGGGCACUACCUCGCGCUACCGCACCGCCCCGUAUACUCGCCCUUCCAACACUAAUCCGUCGGCGAGUAAUCCUCCUAAUGCACGGCGGCCUAUGAUGCCCACGAUGCAGAAACCGGUAAACGAAAGAAAUCGUCCGUAAACAGUUGCAGAGAGGCACGGGGACUAACACGAUGAUUAAAACGGUGGGUAAAGGGUCGAGAAGAUCGCGUGGGAAUCGCGCUCUUUGUGGCAUGAAAUAUAUUUGGUACUUCCGAUCAACGGAUUUUCAAAUGCCGUGAAUUGAUGAUUUAAUGAAAUAUACCAGUAGCGUUUCUUAUGGGAAAAUGGAAGCACACAACACGCAUCUAUCCUCGGCAAAUAUUUCUGGUAUGUCGGGAUCGAUCAAAAGACUCGAUCACUGCAUGUGAAGUUUGACUUUAUUUUAUUCGAUAGAAUCGAAUUAUUCGUCGAUCAAGUAACAAUCGUCGUUUUCUACAACAAUCGUUCUCACAGCAUUCGUACACUAUGAUCGUAUAAAAAGCGGCCGGUUUAUUGUCGAAAAAAAGCACCGGAAAUCGAAUCGAAUUUCGUGAUUGACGACCAGCUUAGGUCAACUUUAUAUUAUGACCGAUGUUGAUCUCAGAUCGAUUAAUAAAGGCAAUUAAGAGAGAGAA